rnacentral:rRNA from 1 species
CCUACGGGAGGCAGCAGUGAGGAAUAUUGCUCAAUGGACGAGAGUCUGAACCAGCCAAGUAGCGUGAAGGAUGACUGUCCUAUGGGUUGUAAACUUCUUUUAUAAAGGAAUAAAACGAGGCACGUGUGCCUUUUUGCAUGUACUUUAUGAAUAAGGACAGGCUAACUCCGGGCCAGCAGCCGCGGUAAUACGGAGGAUCCGAGCGUUAUUCGGAUUUAUUGGGGUUAAAGGAAGCGUAGAUGGGUUGUUAAGUCAGUUGUGAAAGUUAGAGGCUCAACCGUAAAAAUGCAAUUGAUACUGGCAGACUAGAGUACAGUUGAGGUAAGUGGAAUUCGUGGUGUAGCGGUGAAAUGCGUAGAGAUCACGAAGAACCCCGGUUGCGAAGGCAACUUACUAAACUGUAACUGACAUUGAUGCUCGAAAGUAUGGGUAUCAAACAGGAUUAGAUACCCGAGUAGUC